rnacentral:rRNA from 1 species
CGCGCAGGCGGCCGAACCAGUCAGAUGUGAAAGCCCGGGGCUCAACCCCGGAAGUGCAUUUGAUACUGUUUGGCUUGAGUAUGGGAGAGGGAAGUGGAAUUCCUGGUGUAGAGGUGAAAUUCGUAGAUAUCAGGAGGAACACCGGUGGCGAAGGCGGCUUCCUGGACCAAUACUGACGCUGAGGCGCGAAGGCGUGGGGAGCAAACA